GGCCUUUUGGCGGUGCGCUGGCACUUGCCAAAACAACCAGUGCACUACUGCACCGUCGGCAAAACCAGGACAGCUCUUUGGAGUUUCCCUCAUGGAUGUCUAUGAUAAUGACAACUUGCCCUUCCCAAUUCUGGAUAUGCUUUCAUUUAUCAAUCAGAAAGGACCACUCACGAAAGGCAUCUUCAGAAAAUCAGGAAGUAGAAAAUCAUGCAGAAUCCUAAAGGAGAAACUAAAUUCUGGGGACAGAGUGAACUUGGACAGCGAAUCUGUUCUUGUGGUAGCAUCUGUUUUAAAGGCUUGUCUUGUACACUUUUUGAUUGAAAAUUGCCUCUAGAUAUUUGGAGAAGACAUCACUUCUCUCUUGGGAGAGAAUUCAAUGAGUUGUGAUAACAAUGAGAAGGCUGCAGGUACUGUGAAUAAUUUAAUUGGCUUUGGCCAGAUGUAGACAGUAAGGUUGCUGGGGGUCAUGGUAGAUACUUAGCCCCGUUUUGGAGCCCAGAGCAUCCCCAGGGCAAUAAUUCCCAGCUGCUCCUUCUUCCGAAGGCUGGCUCACAGUUCAAGGGAGGUUUCAUACUGUUGGAGAACAAAGAAAGCAUAGAAACUUCAAAAAGUUUCUAGCUGUAUUAGGAGAUAGCAUGGUAUGUUAGAGUGUUUGGGAAUUUUUUUAAACACAGUUUUAAAUGGAUCUCACAUAUAUAUUAUAUAUGUAGUUAAGCAUAUAAUGCAUAAUUUUGUAUUUCUAUUUGUAAUAUAUAAAUGUGUUUUGUUUGAAACCAGAGCGCAAGGCUUUAUUCCUCCUCCCUCCUCGUUUUGCUCAGUGGUCUUGAGGUACCAUAGGAUUCCAGUGCUCUUUAAAAUGAGUUGAAAAGAACCAACAUCAUUGAGUAAAAAGGACCUGACUUGACUUCAAACCACCUCUCCAGAGUACAAACUCCAGUGCUCCCAUUAAUCAGCUAUAUGACAUUUGACCUAUUACUCAAGCUCAGUAUCAGUUUAUUCAUCCCUAACAUGUGGAUAAAAAUAAUGUCUAAAUCUCAGAUAUGCUGUAAAGAUUAAAUAAGAUAAUGGAUGUAAAAUACGUUUCUAAUAAAGUAAUUAAUAGAACUAGGAGAAGUUCCCCUGAGACUAGAGUGAGUAUUAUUGGAGCCUAGCUGACCACAGCUCUCUGGCAACACCCCAUUUUGUAAAACAGAGUUUAGAUUCAGAACCUGGAGACACAUAUCAUAAAUCCCUCCAUAGUUUUGACAUCUGCAUUUUAUGACACAUACCUCAUUGUGUUGAGGAAAUCUUUAGGGUAACCCACGUCAUUAGGUAUUAAGAUUAGUCUUGUGUCAUGUCUGAGAAUAUGUUGGUAUAAGACAAGUGUUUGUUUUUCAUCAGUGACAUAAAAACAAACUGCUGAAUCCAAGCCACUGAGAGUGAUAGUGAUUUCCAAAAAGGCAAAACUGUAGAAUGCUACAAAGUACCCAUCUGGCAUGGGUCCAUCCAUCUACAUGUCUACAGUUUACUAAGUCACUGAAGACUGGAAUCUCCAUAAUGACGCUUGACGUUUCCUCUUUCUUUAUUUUUCCAAUGAAUGAUAAAUGAACCCCAUCCAACACCCAGCUAUUUCCAUUUAACGUUUUUUCCUUGGUCCCAUAUAUUCAUAUUGAGGAAAUCUUCCCACAAAAUAUCUCCUUUUUCUUCAAUGCCUACCAUAUCCUAUUACAUAUUUUUUGUAUUGUAUUUUAAUGUAUUGUAUUGUACUGUACUGUAUUGUGUUGUAUGUUUUUAUAUGGAUAAUAAAAAUCAUUCCAUAACUCAGUAGGUUAGACAACUAUUUAACUUGGUUAUGAUUCACAUAACACUUCACUGAAGGCUCAAUUGAGGUCACUUGUGCAGUGACCUAAUACUCUAGUUAGCCUGCAGCUCAUCUGGAGCUAACCUAGGUGUCUGUCUAUUGGAGCUGGCUCUCAAUUGGUCCUCAUGUCUUCCAUAAGGUAACUUCUCCUCCUUUCAUAGGGUGGAGGAAGAGUUCCCAGAACCAAAAGAGACUUUUCAAGAGUUAAUGUUUGAGAGGACUGUGCAAAGGACCAUGCCAAAGAUGGUGGUUUACAAGAUGAGGAAGCAUUAUUUCUUGAGACCACACAUCAUAAAACUCAUGGCAGCACCACUACUACACAUACCCUCUCUUCACUGGCUUUUAAUCCUCAGUUCUCUACAACAGCAUUUCCUAAGGGGUAUUCCAAGUAUGGUAGGAAGUAUCUUUGAAGUACUAACUCAUUUUUUUACCUCAGGUAUUCCGUCCCUCAUCCUUCUUCCCAUCUUAAGCUGCCUUAAGAGACAACUAAAUCACCUCCUCAGGGAAUAGAAGAGGAGAAUAUGAGGAAAAGGAAGCUCUUUGUUGCUUAUAAGUCUUAAAGAUUUAGCUUUCUAGGAACCAAAAAUGAUUCAUGGCAUAGAGUAGAAGAUUUUGGUGGCAAACUCAUGGGAAAAGCUCAAAACCACUAGGCAGGUACAUGGGAUAUCUGCACCAUUUCCUGCAUGGAAACCAAAAGGAAGCAGAUAUUCCUCACAGAAUAGCGAGCUGACAUGUCUAAGAAAUAUGGCCCUCUAU